rnacentral:rRNA from 1 species
UGGGGAAUUUUGCACAAUGGGCGCAAGCCUGAUGCAGCGACGCCGCGUGAGGGAUGAAGGCCUUCGGGUUGUAAACCUUUUUCGCUCAUGGUCAAGCCGCAGCUUUGGGUUGUGGUGAGGGUAGUGGGUAAAGAAGCGCCGGCUAACUACGUGCCAGCAGCCGCGGUAAUACGUAGGGCGCGAGCGUUGUCCGGAAUUAUUGGGCGUAAAGGGCUUGUAGGCGGUUGGCCGCGUCUGCCGUGAAAUCCUCUGGCUUAACUGGGGGCGUGCGGUGGGUACGGGUUGACUUGAGGGCGGUAGGGGAGACUGGAAUUCCUGGUGUAGCGGUGGAAUGCGCAGGUAUCAGGAGGAACACCGGUGGCGAAGGCGGGUCUCUGGGCCGUUACAGACGCUGAGGAGCGAAAGCGUGGGGAGCAAACAGG